CGAGCUGGCAGGACGGUCGCGGCCCGGGUCUCCCGGUCCGAGGAAAGUCCGGACUCCACGGGGCAGGGUGGUUGCUAACGGCAACCCGGGGCGACCCGCGGGACAGUGCCACAGAAAACAGACCGCCCCCGUCUCCGGACGGGGGUAAGGGUGAAACGGUGGUGUAAGAGACCACCAGCAUCCCGGGCGACCGGGGUGGCUCGGUAAACCCCACCCGGAGCAAGGCCAAGAGGGAGCGUUCCGGCGCUCCUGCGCAGGCGAUCGAGGGCGGCCCGCCCGAGCCUGCGGGUAGGCCGCUGGAGCCUGCCGGCAACGGCAGGCCGAGAUGGAUGACCGUCGCCCGGUCGGCCGCGAGGCCACCCGGGAACAGGAUCCGGCUUACAUGCCAGCUCGUCCG
rnacentral:RNase_P_RNA from 1 species